rnacentral:misc_RNA from 1 species
AAACGAACAUUGGGUGUUCUCCCCCCUUUUCCCUUCUAUCUAACCCAUCCACCCAGCUGUCCCCGCGUCCACAAGCAGCCUCGCUCACGUGCGAGGAGGUCGACUUUCCAGAGCACACGCGGGGCAGCCCUCGUGGGUGCUCAAAAGGAGGUGCAGAACCUGGCUGGGGCACAGCAGCAGCAGAGUAGCACCAGCACCAGCCACGGCGGGAAUCUUAGUAGGCAACAAGGAGUCGAAACAGGUGCCAAGUAAUGGGUAAGCGAAACGAAAGCGGUGGCGGCGAUGUAUCGUCGUUGCGCCGCCACCGCAGCCGUCGGUCCGACCGGCGUGACGACGAUGACGACGUAGGCGACUACGGCGACCGGCAUCGUCGCCGGCGCCGUGACAGCGACUCGCUCGCUGACCGCCAGCAUCACCAUCACCACCGACAUCGCAGCUCGCACCACCAUCGCCGAGGCAGCGCGGAGGGAAGGGAAGACAGCAGUGAUGUCACGCGAUCGGAGCGUGUCUUACGGUCUCAUCACCGCCCGCGACCGGAGCUCAGCGACAGUGACGACGAGUACGGCAACUUCAACGAUAAUCGUCUCUCGCGUCGGCGGCGCGACGGUCAGCAGCGUCGGGAGCGCAGUCGAAGUGAAGAAGAUGACAUAGACGACCGGCGUGGGAGACGAGAGAAAGGGAAGCGGUAUCGCGACACUGCGGCGGCAGACGAUGACGACGACAGUCGUCAGCAAGGUCGCAAGUGUCGUCGUGACGGUCGACAGAGCGUCGACGAGGCGAGUCGCAGCGUGGGUGGCAACGCUGCAGCAAACUUGAGCGAUCGCCGCGCCUACGGGGAUCGCUUCCAGGCGGGCAACAGUGCGGCCAGCUCGACUUACACGGAGAGCAGCACAGUGGACUGGAGCUCCCGUCGCGGUCGUCAGCGCAUGCGGGGUCUUGCGUACGACGUGGACCAGCGGAAGCGUUUUCUGGGCUUUCUGGACCGCUGCGAUGCAUCAGGCGGCCGUGCGGCGGCAGCGGCGAUGGAGUUCGGAAUCGGUCCUGACGGCCUUGUGCAGAUGCCUCCACCGCCCACGCUCGUGCGCCGCCAGAAUCGCAGCCGGUUUGGCGCCACCGACAACAACGAUGGAAACGGCAGCGGUGUUUGCCAGCAGCCGCAGCAGCACCGUCGACGACGCCCGCCCAACUCCGUAGCUCCGAUGGCGAACACCCACGACAAGGACGGCGACGACAACAGCUCUGUUGCAUCGCACGAGUCCCUCUACAACGACCCUGCGGCGGCAGACAUGGGCAUUCUGCCCGACAUCAUUCCACCGUCCAAUCUCUACCGCGUCGCUCUCUGCGGGGUAGACCUUUCGGUGACGGCCUCGCACCUAAGCUCGAUGGUGGCGCAGCUGCUGGGCGGUGGUGCGAAGCCGUGGCGCGUGCGCCGACCGGCGCGUGAGAUGCUGCACGCCGCAGUAAGCUACAACCACGCUGCGCAGCAACAGCCUCGGCACCAGCAGCCGCUCCCAUCAAACAAGUGCAUCAUCACGAGCGCAGCGUCGUCGUCUGGGGUGCUCGCUGACCUGCCAGCAAGUAUGAGCAACACUUCUCACAGCGUCGAGACCUCACUGAUCGACGUGCUGUCGUGCGAGCCCUCCAUCAUCGGAGACAGGGGCGUGCUCCCUGACGCUGACGGCAGCAACGCCGCCUCGGGCGUGCUGGGCAAUGGGGUAGAGCCGAUCAGCGGCAUCUUGCAGGAUGAAGCGGAGGGUCAGCAGAUGCACAAGGAGGCGAAAGAGAACGACGAAGGCGUGCUGCCGGACGCGUCGCCGCUUCCGCAGCCACCGCAUCCGGCCACCCCCGCGUUCUACCUCCCCGGCCUGCACGAUGUCAACGGCCCGGGCGGAAUGGUGGUGCUGGAGUUCACUGAACAGACGCAUGCGCUCCGCUCCGUGCAGCUGCUAAAUGGUGCAUACGUGAAUGGCCGACGUGUGGUCGCAUCCAUGUAGCCGCCGCUGUGUCAUCUCGUGCUUUGGUGUGCGUACAUCUCAGAUUGAUCAUUUUGGUUGCGUGUGUGUGUGUCUACUGGCGGCGCUGUGAAGAGGGUGCGGUGCGCCUUCAUCAAGGCCUCACUUCGUCCUUGCGGCCCACUCACUCACCCCACCUCUCAUUCGUUUCCGAAGACGUCACGACGGCAAAUGUUUGGAUGGCAGGGCAUCGGGCAGAAGAGCGUGAGCCGAAAGAUGCGGAGCGCAGCGCGCGGUGUUUCAUUCUUCUUUCUUCAACGUGUGUCCAUUCUCUGCCGUGGAGCAGGAGUACGACGCCACUCUACUCUGCUGCCCCCGGCCCUGCCACAGGGUCCAUUUCACCUGGUGCGAAGCAGCCGGAGACACAAGCCCGUACAGCAGUGCGCCGGCCCAGCCAUCGGAGAACGGCCUCUGGCCCAAAUGCUGCCCCCUCAGGGUGCCGCUCAGGGCUCCUCGCACCAGCAGGCAGUGUGACGGCCGGGGGUGGGAUACGCUCGAGCCACGCUGACGCUUCGCCCAUCAUGUGGAUGGCACAGGCGUGUUCGCUGUGGCAGGUCGCUCCGACGCCACGCCGUCCAGGACCUGACCAGCCGACAUCAGCAGCAAUGAAUCGCACUGGCCUCCCCUCACCCCCCCCUUUGGGUUGUAGGUGCUUGACCCUGUCACCGCCAGAGGUGCUUCGGCAUUGGCAGGGAUAAGGGGGAGGGGUCGCUUGGCGUCCCCACACACAGAGUGAGGGCGCUGGACCCUGUGAUGUCACGCUGGGGUAGUCCUCGUCGUCAGGGGCGCGUUGUUACAGCC